rnacentral:rRNA from 1 species
AGAGCGAACGCUGGCGGCAGGCCUAACACAUGCAAGUCGAGCGCCCCGCAAGGGGAGCGGCAGACGGGAGAGUAACACGUGGGAACGUACCCUUCAGUUCGGAACAACCCAGGGAAACUUGGGCUAAUACCGGAUACGUCCGUAAGGAGAAAGAUUUAUCGCUGAAGGAUCGGCCCGCGUCUGAUUAGCUAGUUGGUGGGGUAACGGCUCACAAAGGCGACGAUCAGUAGCUGGUCUGAGAGGAUGAUCAGCCUCACUGGGACUGAGACACGGCCCAGACUCCUACGGGAGGCAGCAGUAGGGAAUAUUGGACAAUGGGCGCAAGCCUGAUCCAGCCAUGCCGCGUGGAUGAUGAAGGCCCUAGGGUUGUAAAGUCCUUUCGACGGGGAAGAUAAUGACGGUACCGUAGAAGAAGCCCCGGCUAACUUCGUGCCAGCAGCCGC